rnacentral:rRNA from 1 species
UAGAGAAUACCAAGGCGCUUGAGAGAACUCGGGUGAAGGAACUAGGCAAAAUGGUGCCGUAACUUCGGGAGAAGGCACGCUGAUAUGUAGGUGAAGCGACUUGCUCGUGGAGCUGAAAUCAGUCGAAGAUACCAGCUGGCUGCAACUGUUUAUUAAAAACACAGCACUGUGCAAACACGAAAGUGGACGUAUACGGUGUGACGCCUGCCCGGUGCCGGAAGGUUAAUUGAUGGGGUUAGCGGUAACGCGAAGCUCUUGAUCGAAGCCCCGGUAAACGGCGGCCGUAACUAUAACGGUCCUAAGGUAGCGAAAUUCCUUGUCGGGUAAGUUCCGACCUGCACGAAUGGCGUAAUGAUGGCCAGGCUGUCUCCACCCGAGACUCAGUGAAAUUGAACUCGCUGUGAAGAUGCAGUGUACCCGCGGCAAGACGGAAAGACCCCGUGAACCUUUACUAUAGCUUGACACUGAACAUUGAGCCUUGAUGUGUAGGAUAGGUGGGAGGCUUUGAAGUGUGGACGCCAGUCUGCAUGGAGCCGACCUUGAAAUACCACCCUUUAAUGUUUGAUGUUCUAACGUUGGCCCGUAAUCCGGGUUGCGGACAGUGUCUGGUGGGUAGUUUGACUGGGGCGGUCUCCUCCUAAAGAGUAACGGAGGAGCACGAAGGUUGGCUAAUCCUGGUCGGACAUCAGGAGGUUAGUGCAAUGGCAUAAGCCAGCUUGACUGCGAGCGUGACGGCGCGAGCAGGUGCGAAAGCAGGUCAUAGUGAUCCGGUGGUUCUGAAUGGAAGGGCCAUCGCUCAACGGAUAAAAGGUACUCCGGGGAUAACAGGCUGAUACCGCCCAAGAGUUCAUAUCGACGGCGGUGUUUGGCACCUCGAUGUCGGCUCAUCACAUCCUGGGGCUGAAGUAGGUCCCAAGGGUAUGGCUGUUCGCCAUUUAAAGUGGUACGCGAGCUGGGUUUAGAACGUCGUGAGACAGUUCGGUCCCUAUCUGCCGUGGGCGCUGGAGAACUGAGGGGGGCUGCUCCUAGUACGAGAGGACCGGAGUGGACGCAUCACUGGUGUUCGGGUUGUCAUGCCAAUGGCACUGCCCGGUAGCUAAAUGCGGAAGAGAUAAGUGCUGAAAGCAUCUAAGCACGAAACUUGCCCCGAGAUGAGUUCUCCCUGACUCCUUGAGGGUCCUGAAGGAACGUUGAAGACGACGACGUUGAUAGGCCGGGUGUGUAAGCGCAGCGAUGCGUUGAGCUAACCGGUACUAAUGAACCGUGAGGCUUAACC